rnacentral:rRNA from 1 species
AGUGAACGCUGGCGGUAGGCCUAACACAUGCAAGUCGAACGGCAGCACAGUAAGAGCUUGCUCUUACGGGUGGCGAGUGGCGGACGGGUGAGGAAUACAUCGGAAUCUACUUUUUCGUGGGGGAUAACGUAGGGAAACUUACGCUAAUACCGCAUACGACCUACGGGUGAAAGCAGGGGAUCUUCGGACCUUGCGCGAUUGAAUGAGCCGAUGUCGGAUUAGCUAGUUGGCGGGGUAAAGGCCCACCAAGGCGACGAUCCGUAGCUGGUCUGAGAGGAUGAUCGGCCACACUGGAACUGAGACACGGUCCAGACUCCUACGGGAGGCAGCAGUGGGGAAUAUUGGACAAUGGGCGCAAGCCUGAUCCAGCCAUACCGCGUGGGUGAAGAAGGCCUUCGGGUUGUAAAGCCCUUUUGUUGGGAAAGAAAAGCAGCAGGUUGAUACCCCGCUGUUCUGACGGUACCCAAAGAAUAAGCACCGGCUAACUUCGUG